rnacentral:rRNA from 1 species
CAGCAGCCGCGGGAACACGUAGGGUGCGAGCGUUAAUCGGAAUUACUGGGCGUAAAGCGUGCGCAGGCGGUUGUGUAAGACAGGUGUGAAAUCCCCGGGCUUAACCUGGGAACUGCGCUUGUGACUGCACAGCUAGAGUAUGGCAGAAGGGGGUGGAAUUCCACGUGUAGCAGUGAAAUGCGUAGAGAUGUGGAGGAACACCGAUGGCGAAGGCAGCCCCCUGGGCCAAUACUGACGCUCAUGCACGAAAGCGUGGGGAGCAAACAGGAUUAGAUACCCCUGUAGUCCCUGUCUCUUAUAC